rnacentral:rRNA from 1 species
GCCGGAUUAGCUAGUUGGUGAGGUAAAGGCUCACCAAGGCGACGAUCCGUAGCUGGUCUGAGAGGACGACCAGCCACACCGGAACUGAGACACGGUCCGGACUCCUACGGGAGGCAGCAGUGGGGAAUAUUGGACAAUGGGGGCAACCCUGAUCCAGCGACGCCGCGUGGGUGAAGAAGGCCUGCGGGUUGUAAAGCCCUUUCAGUGGGGAAGAAAUGUUCCGACCUAAUACGUCGGGAUCUUGACGUUACCCAAAGAAGAAGCACCGGCUAACUCUGUGCCAGCAGCCGCGGUAAUACAGAGGGUGCGAGCGUUAAUCGGAAUUACUGGGCGUAAAGCGCACGUAGAUGGCUUUGUAAGUCGGAUGUGAAAUCCCCGGGCUCAACCUGUGAACUGCAUUCGAAACUGCAUUGCUCGAAUGUGGAAGAGGGAAGCGGAAUUCCAGGUGUAGCGGUGAAAUGCGUAGAUAUCUGGAGGAACAUCAGUGGCGAAGGCGGCUUCCUGGUCCAACAUUGACAUUCAGGUGCGAAAGCGUGGGGAGCA